rfam:Oryza barthii chromosome 3, whole genome shotgun sequence.
AAAAAGGCAAACCCUUGAUUUCUGUACCAACGUUUGACUGUCCGUUUUAUAUGAAAUAUUUUUAUAAUUAGUAUUUUUAUUGUUGUUAGAUGAUAAAACAUGAUUAAUACUUUAUGCGUGACUUAUUUUUUAAUUUUUUCAUAUUUUUUUUUCAAAUAAGACGGACGGUCAAACGUUGGACACGGAAACCAGGGUUUGUCUUUUU